CCAUCGGUGGUUCAGUGGUAGAAUGCUCGCCUGCCAUGCGGGCGGCCCGGGUUCGAUUCCUUGACGAUGCA
rnacentral:tRNA from 1 species